UCUGCCUUAUCGGCGAGCGGUCCCCCUAGAGUGCCCAACUUAAUGAUGGCAACUAAGGGCGAGGGUUGCGCUCGUUGCGGGACUUAACCCAACAUCUCACGACACGAGCUGACGACAGCCAUGCAACACCUGUCUCUACGUCCCUUGCGGGAACUCCUGCUUUCACAGGAUAGCGUAGGAUGUCAAGCCUAGGUAAGGUUUUUCGCGUUGCGUCGAAUUAAACCACAUACUCCACCGCUUGUGCGGGCCCCCGUCAAUUUCUUUGAGUUUUAAUCUUGCGACCGUACUUCCCAGGCGGGGUACUUAACGCGUUAGCUACGACACCGAGAGGGUAAGAACUCCCGACGUCUAGUACCCAUAGUUUACAGCGUGGACUAC
rnacentral:misc_RNA from 1 species